GAUGAAGAACGCAGCGAAAUGAGAUACGUAAUGUGAAUUGCAGAAUUCAGUGAAUCAUCGAAUCUUUGAACGCAUAUUGCGCUCUCUGGUAUUCCGGAGAGCAUGCUUGUUUGAGUAUCAGUAAACACCUCAACUCCCUUUUCUUUUUUGAAAUUGGAGCUGGACUUGAGUGAUCCCAACGCUUUCUUCCAAGAAAGUGGCGGGUUGCUUGAAAUGCAGGUGCAGCUGAACUUUUCUCUGAGCUAUAAGCAUAUCUAUUUAGUCUGCCUAAAAAACAGAUUAUUACCUUUGCUGCAGCUAACAUAAAGGAGACUAGUUCUUGUGCUGACUGAUGCAGGAUUCACAGAGACAGCUUCGGCUGACUUUGUAAACUCGAUCUCAAAUCAAGUAAGACUACCCGCUGAACUUAAGCAUAUCAAUAAGCGGAGGA
rnacentral:misc_RNA from 1 species